UCGGAUGUGGUGCACGGUGAACGUCAGCGUCAAAUAGAUGAUCGCCUAUGUAUUCGUAGUCGCCGAAGUCCGGGGCUCGACUCCCCGCGUCCGAA